CUGGACUGGUCCUUCAGUAAACAGACUCACCAAUAGCUGGAGCAGUUUGCUUUGCAGUAACAAGGACUCACUAAUCACUGGGCCAGUUCUGUAGGUUCUGCAUUAAUAUGGACUCACUAAUCACUGGGCCAGUUCUGCUGGGUCUGCAGUAACAUGGACUCACUAAUCACUGGGCCAGUUCUGUUGGGUCUGCAGCAACAUGGACUCACUAAUCACUGGGCCAGUUCUGCUGGGUCUGCAGCAACAUGGACUCACUAAUCACUGGGCCAGUUCUGCUGGGUCUGCAGUAACAUGGACUCACUAAUCACUGGGCCAGUUCUGUUGGGUCUGCAGUAACAUGGACUCACCUUCCUGGGCAAGGAGGAGCUGGCUGAGGCAUAGCAGAUAAGUGAUGAUAAGUUGAGGGCACCAGCAAAGUCUACUGGCUGCUCCAAGGAACAUCUUGUGGAAAGAUCCCUAAAGAUCGUUUGGGAUAAAAUAAUGUAGCUAUCAAGAGUUCAUUGUUCUCCACGUUUAAGGGUCCCUGAUGAAUGAAGAAUGUUAUCCAAAGGAAUGUCCUUCUAAAAUACAGAUUACACACUGUGUCUUCCCGUCCAGUUUCAGUGUCAAUGGAAGCGUUCACAGAGAGACAGGACAAGAAGACCAGAGUCCAAAUCUCUCUAUUUGUCUGGGAGGAGCAACCGGACAUUCCCCUGUAAUGUACUGAGAGGGUUUUGAUCUGACAAAGCAAAAUUUACUGAGAGAAUACAGAUAAUCAGUGACUGCAAGAUCAAUAGCCAGAGGAAUGCAAAC